rnacentral:rRNA from 1 species
GAUGAACGCUGGCGGCGUGCCUAAUACAUGCAAGUCGAGCGAACGGACGAGAAGCUUGCUUCUCUGAUGUUAGCGGCGGACGGGUGAGUAACACGUGGAUAACCUACCUAUAAGACUGGGAUAACUUCGGGAAACCGGAGCUAAUACCGGAUAAUAUUUUGAACCGCAUGGUUCAAAAGUGAAAGACGGUCUUGCUGUCACUUAUAGAUGGAUCCGCGCUGCAUUAGCUAGUUGGUAAGGUAACGGCUUACCAAGGCAACGAUGCAUAGCCGACCUGAGAGGCUGAUCGGCCACACUAGAACUGAGACACGGUCCAGACUCCUACGGGAGGCAGCAGUAGGGAAUCUUCCGCAAUGGGCGAAAGCCUGACGGAGCAACGCCGCGUGAGUGAUGAAGGUCUUCGGAUCGUAAAACUCUGUUAUUAGGGAAGAACAUAUGUGUAAGUAACUGUGCACAUCUUGACGGUACCUAAUAAGAAAGCCACGGCUAACUACGUG